rnacentral:tRNA from 1 species
GUUUCCGUGGUGUAGUGGUUAUCACGUGCGCCUCACACGCGCAAGGUCUCCGGUUCGAUUCCGGGUGGGAACA